rnacentral:lncRNA from 1 species
GGUGUUCUUCUAUGCCAUCAACUACGGCAAACUGAAGCACCACAGGAACUACAA